UUAGUGUGUGCAGUUACAAAUAUAAGAUU
rnacentral:sRNA from 1 species